rnacentral:rRNA from 1 species
CCGUAUCUUGGGAGUCAGGCGGUGGGUGAUAAAAUCAAUCGUCAAAAGGGGAACAACCCAGACUACCGAAUAAGGUCCCCAAGUUCUAUUCUAAGUGGAAAAAGAUGUGUAGUUACUUAGACAACCAGGAGGUUGGCUUAGAAGCAGCCAUCCUUUAAAGAAAGCGUAACAGCUCACUGGUCUAGUGAUUAUGCGCUGAAAAUAUAACGGGGCUAAGAUAGACACCGAAUUCGUAGAUUGUGCUGAUGCACAGUGGUAGAAGAGCGUUCGUAUCAGCGUUGAAGGCAUACCGGUAAGGAGUGCUGGAGCGAUGCGAAGUGAGCAUGCAGGAAUGAGUAGCGAUAAAAGUGGUGAGAAUCCACUUCACCGAAAGUCUAAGGUUUCCUACGCGAUGCUCGUCAUCGUAGGGUUAGUCGGGUCCUAAGAUAAGUCCGAAAGGGGUAGUCGAUGGAAAAUAGGUUAAUAUUCCUAUACCAAUUAUUGUGUGCGAUGUGGGGACGCAUAGAGCUAAACAUUAAAAACUGAUGGAAUAGUUAAUUAAAAAGUAUAUAGAUUGGAGGAUAGGCAAAUCCGCCUCUGUAUUCAAAACUUUUUAGCAUCUAGAGAUCUUCGGAUUGAAAGGUGUAAUGUUGAUGCUGUCGUGCCAAGAAAAGCCUCUAAGUUUAGCAAUAAUUGCUCGUACCGCAAACCGACACAGGUAGAUGAGAUGAGUAUUCUAAGGUGCGUGAAAGAACUCUCUUUAAGGAACUCUGCAAACUAGCACCGUAAGUUCGCGAUAAGGUGUGCCUGAGGAUUCUAGUAAUAGGGUCUGAAGGUCUCAGCAAAGAGUCCCUCCCGACUGUUUACCAAAAACACAGCACUUUGCCAACUCGUAAGAGGAAGUAUAAGGUGUGACGCCUGCCCGGUGCUCGAAGGUUAAGAGGAUUAGUUAGUCGCAAGACAAAGCUUUGAAUUGAAGCCCGAGUAAACGGCGGCCGUAACUAUAACGGUCCUAAGGUAGCGAAAUUCCUUGUCGGUUAAAUACCGACCUGCAUGAAUGGCGUAACGAGAUGGGAGCUGUCUCAAAGAGAGAUUCAGUGAAAUUGUAGUGGAGGUGAAAAUUCCUCCUACCCGCGGCAAGACGGAAAGACCCCGUGGACCUUUACUAUAACUUGGUACUGCAGAUGGGAAUAUUAUGCGCAGGAUAGGUGGGAGACUUUGAAAUCUUCACUCUGGUGGAGAUGGAGUCAUCGUUGAGAUACCACCCCUAAUAUUUCUGUUUGCUAACUAGCUUGAGUUAUCCUCAAGUAGGACAAUGCCUGGUGGGUAGUUUGACUGGGGCGGUCGCCUCCUAAAAAGUAACGGAGGCUUGCAAAGGUUGGCUCAUUGCGGUUGGAAAUCGCAAGUUGAGUAUAAUGGUAUAAGCCAGCCUGACUGUAAGACACACAAGUCGAGCAGAGACGAAAGUCGGUCAUAGUGAUCCGGUGGUUCUGUGUGGAAGGGCCAUCGCUCAAAGGAUAAAAGGUACCCCGGGGAUAACAGGCUGAUCUCCCCCAAGAGCUCACAUCGACGGGGAGGUUUGGCACCUCGAUGUCGGCUCAUCGCAUCCUGGGGCUGGAGCAGGUCCCAAGGGUAUGGCUGUUCGCCAUUUAAAGCGGUACGCGAGCUGGGUUCAGAACGUCGCGAGACAGUUCGGUCCCUAUCUGCCGUGGGCGUAGGAAAGUUGAGGAGAGCUGUCCCUAGUACGAGAGGACCGGGAUGGACAUGCCACUGGUGUACCAGUUGUUCUGCCAAGAGCAUCGCUGGGUAGCUACGCAUGGCUGUGAUAACCGCUGAAAGCAUCUAAGCGGGAAGCCAACUCCAAGAUGAACUUUCCCUGAAGGUCGCAGCAAGACUAGCUGCUUGAUAGGGUAGAGGUGUAAGCACAGUAAUGUGUUUAGCUGACUACUACUAAUAGACCGUUUGGCUU